CCUACGGGAGGCAGCAGUGAGGAAUAUUGGUCAAUGGCCGCAGGGCUGAACCAGCCAAGUCGCGUGAGGGAUGACGGUCCUAUGGAUUGUAAACCUCUUUUGUCAGGGAGCAAAGGGCGCCACGUGUGGCGUUUUGCGAGUACCUGAAGAAAAAGCAUCGGCUAACUCCGUGCCAGCAGCCGCGGUAAUACGGAGGAUCCGAGCGUUAUCCGGAUUUAUUGGGUUUAAAGGGAGCGUAGGUGGAUUGUUAAGUCAGUUGUGAAAGUUUGCGGCUCAACCGUAAAAUUGCAGUUGAAACUGGCAGUCUUGAGUACAGUAGAGGUGGGCGGAAUUCGUGGUGUAGCGGUGAAAUGCUUAGAUAUCACGAAGAACUCCGAUUGCGAAGGCAGCUUACUAAACUAUAACUGACACUGAAGCACGAAAGCGUGGGGAUCAAACAGGAUUAGAUACCCUGGUAGUC
rnacentral:rRNA from 1 species